AUGAACGCUGGCGGCGUGCUUCACCCCUGCCGGUCGAACGAUGAAGCCCAGCUUGCUGGGUGGAUUAGUGGCGAACGGGUGAGUAACACGUGAGUAACCUGCCCUUAACUCUGGGAUAAGCCUGGGAAACUGGGUCUAAUACCGGAUAGGAGCGUCCACCGCAUGGUGGGUGUUGGAAAGAUUUAUCGGUUUUGGAUGGACUCGCGGCCUAUCAGCUUGUUGGUGAGGUAAUGGCUCACCAAGGCGACGACGGGUAGCCGGCCUGAGAGGGUGACCGGCCACACUGGGACUGAGACACGGCCCAGACUCCUACGGGAGGCAGCAGUGGGGAAUAUUGCACAAUGGGCGCAAGCCUGAUGCAGCGACGCCGCGUGAGGGAUGACGGCCUUCGGGUUGUAAACCUCUUUCAGUAGGGAAGAAGCGAAAGUGACGGUACCUGCAGAAGAAGCACCGGCUAACUACGUG
rnacentral:rRNA from 1 species